GUGCUUGCUUUGGCAGCACAUAUACUAAAAUUGGAACAAUACAGAGAAGAUUACCAUGGCCCCUGCGCAAGGAUGAUACCCAAAUUCGUGAAGCAUUCCAUAUUUUU
ensembl:snRNA U6 U6 spliceosomal RNA